ensembl:snRNA U1 U1 spliceosomal RNA
ACACUUCCCUGGCAGGUGAGGCACCAUGAUCAUGAAGGUGGCUGUCCCAGGUGAGGUCUGCCCAUUGCACUACAGAUCUGCCAACCCCAGCCAUUCCCACACUGUAGGAAACCCAACUGCAAAAUUCGUGAUAGCUAGGGACUGCAUUCACACUAUCCCCUGU